rnacentral:piRNA from 1 species
UAGUUGACUAACAUUCGUAGGCGCCGGU